CAUAAUACAUUUAAGAUUAUUACAAUUCAAUUUAAAUUCAAGAAAUGGGGAAAAAAUAAAUACUAAAAACAGAUUGAACUUCAUAAAGCAGAAAAUUUGACUUCUUACAACUUCAAUUUUCUUCGUUUCUUCUACAGUACCGAUGGCUGCAAGAACUCAAUUUUGAGAUCGAAAGAGGAAGAUGCAGAAAAUGUACACCUAUCUUCCAAACACCCUGAUGCCUUGCCUUCUACCAAAUAUUUAUCCUUUUGGAAUAUGAGAACAAUAACAGUCAUUCUUGGAAUCAUUUUCUUUCAUUAAUGUACUCAUCAUAGUGUGCAUUUGCUUAAGCAUUUGUAUCAUAGACAAUGUACAUUAUCUCUAUAGUUUUGGUCUGUAGGGAUUUUUCUUUCGUUAUUUUCUUUUUUCUUUCACAAUAGAACCAAACAGUAAGCAUAUGUAGAAAACCAAUGUGUUCAUUCUGGAAUUUUAAUCUGCAAACAUAUGUGCUCAUUGUAGAAUUUUAAUCUGCAAAAGAGAAGCAUAUUGGUCGGUGUAUGAACAAAUGCCUUUAUGAAUGGAAGAUAGGAAAAUUUUAAUCUCCAGAAGAUAUUGGCCGUGGUAUGAACAAAAGCCUUCAUGGAUGGAAGAUAUGAAGGUUACGAACGGCCUAAAUAAGAGGAAGAGAAGGAGGCUAAUUAAGAAACAUGGUAUUUGAACUUUACUAAGCACAUAGUUUGAAAUGAAAAUGAGUAAAAAGGCAAAAUAUUAGGAAAAUGAAAAUGAGUAAAAAGGCAAAAUAUUAGGAAAACAGAAACAUAUGUUCUAGAGAGGCUGUUUCCGAUAGAUCUUCGGCUCCCUCUCUCCAAGAACUCCCCACAUUGCUCUUGAUGUGACUCGAACUCACAACCUCUUGGUUGGAAGUGGAAGAUGUUCACCACUAGAGCAACCCACUCUUGUCAUAGAAAAACAAAAACAUAUGAUUCGUAAAGUUGGCGGUUAUCAAAGAGGUAUCGUUUGAAUUUUUUAAGCACCUAAAAUGAAGGAAAAAGGCAAAAAAAAAUAGGAAAAUAAAUAAAUAUAAAUCCUAAGUUAUGAGAGGUGUCACAUCAUCACUGAGUGGCCCUCCUUUAUUGAUAUAUAAAGAUAGUUAUAACUAAGUAACCAUCUUAAACUUCUAUCAUUUCGCAUGACAGAAUAUUUUUUGUCAUAUCCAUACCUAAUUGGACUUGAACCAACUUUGUUUUUUCUACUUUUCAAGUUUAGCGUAGGAACUUGCAAACUCAAGCGGGACAGAGUGCGACCCCUAAGCAAUUGGGGUCUCGCUCAUCUCUUGGGGCUUCAUCUCGUCGUCACCAAUAAUAAUAAUAAAUUCAGUGAAUUUUCGCAAGUAGAUUUCGAGAAGAAUAAUAUAUACGCAGACCUUACUUUUAUCCUUGGAAGAAAAAAGAGGCUAUUUUCGUAGACCAUCGACUCAAGACAAAAUAAAAAAAAGCAAUGACAACUAGCAACAACAAACUCAUUUAUAUGUUAGUGAACUAAUUUGUGUCACUUAAAAAUAACUAAACUGGGACUACGACGCAAUUUCUCUCUGGGCGCACGUUGCUAAUGUGCGCCAACCAUGGGCAACAGAGCUCGCGUGCCAUCCCAGAAGAAUCUAAUGGCCUCACUGAAUCACCCAACAACAUCAUGAGGUGUGAAUCACUCUAAGAAGGGAGAGUUACCAUCAGAAAUUAGUGAAUGAGGAAGCAAAAUGCCUAUUGAAACUGGGUCGAAAACACCAGAAGAGGAAAUCAAUAAAUUAGUUACUGUGAAUGAGAAAUCAUGGACUAAUGUGGUAAAAGGAGGAAGCAGCAAUCAAAGGCUAUCAUGGGCAGGUGAAGUCGAAGCAAUGGACAAAAUGGAGAAGAAAAGCUCAAUUUGGGACAAUUUCGACGUUGGGAAAAUAUCGAAUGUAGGAUUCAAGCUCGAUUAUGUGUCCCCAAUGAAACAAGGUGAGUCUGCUGUAUGUGAAGUUGAAAUUGAGGAAAUUAGUUCUGAAAUUAACUACUGGAAAACUGCGGUAGUAUGUUAUGUUCUGAAAUGGUUACAUUCAGCGUCUGUGGGCUAAGCAUGGUAUCACAAAGUGUUAUGCUGAAAAAUGGAAUAAUGUUAGUUAGGUUUGAUACUAAAAUUGGGAAGAAUGAAGUCAUUCAAGGUGGGAUUUAUCACUUUGACAACAAGCCUUUCAUAGUGAAGGCAUGGACACCAGACAUGGAGUUCACAAGAGAGGAAUUGCUCACAGUACCUAUUUGGGUGAAGCUGCCAGUGUUGGAUUUCAAAUAUUCGAGUCCUAAAGGGUUGAGUAAGAUAGGAAAUUUAGUGUGAAGGCCUCUAAUGGUUGAUAAAAAUACUGUGAAGAACGUUGGUUUGAAUUUUGUCAGGCUGCUCAUAGAAGUGGAAGUUGAUGCUAAACUACCAGAGUUGAUAUGGUUUAGGUAUGAAAAAGGAAAUUUGAUUGAGCAGAAAAUUAUGUAUGACUAGAAGCCCACAUUAUGCAAAUUCUAUAGCAAAUAUGUUCAUGUUGAAGAUGAUUGCAGGAAAAAAAACAAAAACCACAAAAAGAACCUCAGGAUCCAAAGGAGAAUGAUAAAAAGGAAACAACAGAUACAACACAGAGUGACAAACAACAAUUUGGAGGAAAUGGUAACAAACAGAGGCCUAUGGUACAGCAAAACACAGGCAAAGGGGAUACAACUACUCAGGCAGAUGAAAGAUUGAAGGGAAAGCCAAAAGAAGUGUGGGUAACACCACAACAUACAAGUUGACAUCAAACAAAUACAGUACAAGUGAGAAGCCCCAAUAGCUUUCAUGUUCUAGAUGACUUAGGACCAAGCAAACAUGUGCAUAAUUCUGUUUUGAGGAAAGAAGGUGAUCCAAAACUUCCUACCUCUAGGAAUGGCUAGCCUUCUAUAUUGGAAUGUUAGGGGCCUUAAUGGCCCCAAUAAGCCAAAGGAGUGAAACUCCUUUGCAAUAAACAGGAAGCUGGAUUAAUAGGCCUACUGGAAACUAAGAUCAAAUCCAAUAAGAUAGAAAAGAUCGCAAAAAAUAUGUUUAAUGGGUGGAAGUUUACUACAAAUCUGGAUAUGCAUUAUAAUGGAAGGAUUUGGUUAACUUGGAGACCAGAUUAUUUCCAAGUAAUAGUUAAACGAAUGAAUGCACAAGCAGUAACAUGUGAGAUUUAUAAUAUCACAAAGCAAAAACUAUUUCUCCUAACUGUAGUUUAUGCUUACAAAAGCAAAGAUGAAAGGAAGGAGUUAUGAGAGUAUUUGAAAGUUGAAAGCAUGGGGAAUCAAUUGCCAUGAAUAAUAGCUGGAGAUUUUAACUCUGUUCUGAAAGGUGAUAAUAGGAUGGGAGGCAGUCCAGUUACAUUAGGAGAGGUGAUGGACUUCCAAGACUGUAUAGAAAGUUGUUAAUUGAUAGAAAUGCCACAAAAUGGUAGCAGAUACAAAUGGAAUGAUAAAGAAGGUGAUAAGAGAAUUUACUCAAAGAUAGAUUGGGUGUUUGUCAAUAGAGUAUGGCUAGACCAAAUGCCUGUAUACACAACUACUUUCCUGCCAGAAGGAGUCAGUGAUCACUGCCCAAUAAGUAUAAGAAUGGCAAAUAUAUUAUGCACCAGAAGAAGAUCAUUCCAAUAUUGCAAUACAUGGUCCCAACAUCCAGAAUUUCAUGCUAAAGUGAGAGAGGUAUGGCAUAAGCAAAUAGAGGGGUGUAUGAUGUUUCAGAUAGUAAAGAAGAUGAAACUUCUAAAGCAGAAUUUGAAAGAGGUAAAUAAGAACCAGUGUAGCAAUAUCAUCAAGGAAGAAACUGAUGACAGAGAAGCUCUAGAACAGGCACAAAUAGCAAUGCAAUUAAGACCAGGUGAUCAAGCACUACAAUUGUUAGAGAAGGAGAAGUACCAAAAAUUCAGGCAGUCAUCUUACCUGGCUGAAAUAUUCCUACAACAAAGAAGUAAGGCAACAUGGCUGAGACUAGGAGAUGACGAUACAAAGUAUAUUUUCUCAAUUAUUAAGCAUAAAAGGUUGCAACAAGAAAUUACUCAGUUAAUGGAUAAGGAUGAUGUGAUACAAACUAAUCCUAGAGUAAUAGCAUCAAUUUUGGUAGAUUUCUACAAAGAUUUUCCGGGGAAAAGAAAACUCAGAGAAUUAGAGCUUUCAAAAGCUUCCUACAUAAUGGUCACAGAUUAACAGUGGGACAACAACAAGAACUUGUAUAGCCUUUCAAUGCGAAGAAAGUGAAGGAAACAAUAAUUAGUAUAGGCAGAAACAGAAGCCCCUGAUGGUUAGAGCAGUGACUUCUUGAAAGCUGCAUGAGGGAUCACAGGGGAAGACAUUACAAAGGCAAUAAUAGAAUUCUUUCAAAAUGGGGAGCUGCUUAAGCGACUGAAUGCAACAAUGAUCACUCAGAUCCCUAAAAUAGAUGUGCCUCAGAAAGCUGCUUAGUUUAGACCUAUUGCUUAUUGCAAUGUUCUAUAUAAAUGUAUAUCUAAGUUGAUAUAUAAGAGAUUGAGGAAAGCAAUAGCCCCAAUAGUAGCAGAGAAUCAGGCAGUAUUUGUGGAGGGGAGAUCACUGGUGCACAAUGUCCUGAUCUGUCAUGACCUGCUCAGGCAUUAUAACAGAAAAAUCACACCUAGAUGCUUGAUGAAAAUAGACAUUAGGUGCACAGUAUUUGUGGAGGGGAGAUCACUGGUGCACAAUGUCCUGAUCUGUCAUGACCUGCUCAGGCAUUAUUACAGAAAAAUCACACCUAGAUGCUUGAUGAAAAUAGACAUUAGGGAAACGUAUGAUAUGGUAAGUUGGGAGUUCAUUGAGGAGGCAUUAAAAGGAUUUGGGUUUCCAGAAUACUUUGUUCAACUGAUAGUGACCUGCAUUACAUCCACCAAUUGUACUAUCAAGGUGAACGGAGAAGGACAUGCGUACAUUGCAGAGAAAAAAGGACUAUAACAAGGGGAUCCAAUGUCUCCUUUAGUAUUUGUGCUAGUGAUGGAUUACUUAUCCAGAACAUUGAAAAGGGGACAUAAAGAUGAGUAAGCUACCUGAAAUUUCAUCCCAUGUGUAAAGCUACCAAACUGACACACUUAAUUUUUGCUGAUGAUUUGAUGAUAUUCUGUAAAGGGGACAUAAAUUCUGUUACUAGAGUGAGAAGCACUAAUCACUUUACUGAGGUUACAUGAUCGAUAUCUAAUCAAGAUAAAUCCAGCAUGGUUGUCGUAGGAGUUGAAGAAGAUAUAAUGGAGCAACUGUUGAAUAUAAUAGAAUUCAUAUUGGGGACACUACCAAUAAGAUACCUAGGUCUGCCACACUCAUCUAAGAAGUGGAGCAAGAUGGAAUGCCACCAAUUGGUAGAGAAAAUCACCACCAGAAUUAAUAAUGCAUACUCCAAAAAUCUGUCCUACGCAGGAAGGCUGCAAUUAUUAAUGCAGUGCUGUUUCAGUGUACAAUAUCUGGGGGGCGGUACUUAUAUUACCUCAAAGUGUUUUGAAGGAGGUAGAUAGAAGAUACAUGGAUUAUCUAUGGGGGAAUUCAGAGGCAAAAAGGAAAGUGGCAGUAGUUUCCUGGGAGAAGCUAUGUACUCCCAAGAAAUAUGGUGGUCUAAACAUCAAAAGUUGCAAGAAAUGGAAUGUGGCCUCAGUUGGCAAGUUGAUCUGGCAGCUUGAAAAGGAGGACACACUAUGGAUUAGAUGCGUUCAUGGCCUAUAUAUGAGAGGUGAACAGAACAUCUGGAAUCACAAGCCACCAUCUGAUUGUAGCUGGUACUGGAGGAAACUGAAUUCAAUCAAGACAUAUAUGAUAGCUUGGUAUAACAAUGGAACUUACUGCUUGUCACCUAAUGGAAGAUACUCUGUCACUAGUAGCUAUAAUGCUAUGCUGGGAGAUUUGCAUAAACUUGAGGCAGCAGAUUUAAUUUUGAAUUCCAUAACGCUACCAAGGCACAAGAUUAUAAUAUGGCUGGCCAAUCAGGAAAGACUACUGACAAAAGAAAGACUAGCAAAAUUGCAGAUACCAAUCGAUAGCAACUUAUAAUGUUGUCCAUGUGAUGAGGCAAAUAAAGAAACCCCUUCCACCUUAUUCGCAGAAUGCAAGUGGAUUACUGACUUGAGGGUGGAGCUGGAAAACCGGUCUGGUAUUAACAUGCAGAAAAAAGGGAUCAAUCAAAGCCUUGUGUGUUUCAAAAGAAGACACUGGAGCCAAAUCAAAAAGGAAAUAGCAACUGCCAUUUGGGGAGUUAUAAUCAACCACACUUGGAGAGCAAGGAACUUAAAACAAUUCAAGGAUGAAAAUGUACAUAGAGAGACAGUAGUAACAGAAAUCAAACAGGAAAUAAAGGAGAGGAUAGACCACAUAAAAUGUUCAAAGAGAGCACAAAGAAGCAGUUUUUUUAUUCAAAAGUUCUAUUAACACCCUUCCUAGAAGGUGGUUAAAAUAUUUCAAGGGCUCUUUAGGUGUAUCAAUUUGUUGGUUUAUGGUAAUAUAUUCACAUUUAUUUCCAAAAAAAGAAAAAAAAACUUUCUACCUUGUUCAGAGAAUCAAGACGCCUGGAAAAUCCAUCGGCCAACACCAGAAAAGCAAAUAGGCAUGCCAAAUUAGCAAAUGUCAAAUGCCAAGGUGGAUGGUGAGAAUUUUUGUUAUGGUCACUGAAAUUACAGUUUAUCGCAAUAGAGCCGAAAAACUCGUAAUUUAUCUGUCUUUAUGUGCCCCCCAAAAAAUAUUAAGUUGGAUGAGCAUUUGACAUAACCCAUCUUGACUAUUUG
rnacentral:lncRNA from 1 species